rnacentral:lncRNA from 1 species
CCCAUACUGACCUGCACCUUUUUAUUCACAUCAUUCACCAGAAGUGUGUGUGUGUGUGUGUGUGUGUGUGUGUGUGUGUGUGUGUGUGUGUGUGUGUGUGUGUGUGUGUGUCCACAGUUCAAAGCCUGUCUUGCUCGAAGUACUUCUGACAGACAGACAGGAGCACCAAGCCCCGCCUCCUGUUGACUCCACCCCCAUUAGGCUGGCCCCUACAGGUUCACCCCGGGAGGACUGCAGGGGGGCUGACGAGUCCCUCCCCCCCCCUCCUCCAGGCCACGCCCCACCAACUGGCCACACCCAUAAAAUUACAGAUAGGCACAGACGCACACAGGCCCCUCCCCCUUUCAGCUCAGCCCCACCCCCUUCUGCCAUGGCAACCAUGUCUGUGGAGCACCGGCCGCAUGCUGAAGGCCCGACCGACCAAUCCCAGGACACCCUGCGCGGCUCGACCAUUCAGGACACGUCUGAGCUGGACGCCUUGUACCGGGCCAGCCUGCGAGCUCCCAGAAUGCAGCGGGGCAGCAGAAACAGAGCCAGCAGGUCUACGACGCCCACAGCAGAGAUGGAGAAAUACCCCGACCGAACCCCACCCACCCUACAGUUCCAGGGAGGUUUCCAUGACGAUGAGGACGACAGUGCAGGGAGCCUGCGACGCACCAGCCGACGGCUGAGGGCCCGGGUGAGGGGACACACACACACACACACACACACCCACACACACACGCACCCACCCACCCACCCACCCACCCCAUCAUCUUGUUGA